UCUGGGCAUGGUGGCGCACGCCUGUGAUUCCAGCUACUUGGAGGCUGAGGUGGGAGGAUCAUGAGAUUAAGGCCAGUCUCAGCAACCUGGUACACGCCUGUAAUCCCAGGGGCUCGGGAGGCUGAGACAGGAGGAUUGCGAGUUCAAAGCCAGCCUCAGCGAUGGCGAGGCCCUAAGCAACUCAGUGAAACCCCGUCUCUA
rnacentral:sRNA from 1 species